rnacentral:lncRNA from 1 species
GCCAUGGUUUCCUACACCAAAGUUCAGCCACUUUGUUUUGGAUUUAUCAUCAUGGAAGCCUUACUUGAAAACAAUUAAAAGAUGGAAGAUUAUGGAACCUUUUCAUUUUAGUGAUGAAAAAACAAGAUGAAUUCAUAUGUGACUGGUAGGAUGCCAAAGCCAGAGAUGACAGCACUCCUGAGGGAAUGAGGGGCAGUAAGGAAGAUAAAAGGCAGUGCAUGGCCUGGUGCAUUGCACGAAGAGGGACAAGAGGAGUCUACAAUCUCUUCAAAGUUCUCCUUCCGGCAUCAAUUCUCUCCUAGAAAGAGA